UUUCAGAAAAUGUAUAAUUUAUAUUUAUACAUACCUAAAUAUAUAGUUUUAUUCCAUUGAAUAAUUUGUAAAUAUUGAUUUGUUAGACAGGUAAUAUUGUGAACACUUGGAGGCUGCUGUCUAUUGAGACAUCAAAAGGACUCAGUUCCCAAUAGAAAGGUGUUUUCGAAUAAAGAAAAGAAUUUAGUCCUUAUCUGCCUACCCUGUUUUUUAUCCUCAGUCAGGAGAGGGCAAGCAGACAUAUUUUAGAGAUCUCCCUGACUGAAGGAAAUCAACACAGAAUUAUAAAGUCACAGGAAAUAGAAAUAGAAGUCUGGUGUCAGUAAUGUAUACAACAGUAUUACAGAAAUCUGUCACAGUGCCAGGUGAUAGUAAGUGUAGUCACAUUACCCACGUGUCUACGGACCGGGUUUGGAUCAGUGAUAGUAAAGGCAAUCUCAUCUUAACAAACAGGACAGGAGACAAACUAGAUCAAGUGACAGAUUUAACUAAAGAUGGUGGUGGAGUACAUACUGUGACGCGUGAUAGUGCUGUGAUUUAUAUAGACAGUCACUUUAACAUCAUUAAACUGUCUACAGAUAAAGUAAAGACCACAGUGAUACCAUACGCAUCACCAGGGGUACCACGGAGUGUCUACAGCUCCC